rnacentral:lncRNA from 1 species
UUGGAAGCCGUUUUGGCCCUAAGCAUCUGAGGAAAUGAAGAAGGGACGGGAAGCUGUUACCUGGAUAGACUGCAUGAAAAUCUCAUUAAUUUAGAACACAAGGGACCGGACAAACGGAUUUUGAAUUAAUUAGAGUCAGCUUAACCCAGGGCUUUGAGAAGAUUAAGCUGUAAUGAAAUACUAAACAUAACAAGGAAGAAAGCACAGCCUGCCAGAAGUGGAGCGGUGGAAUCUGGCGAAGAAAGGCACAGUGUGCUAAAGAACGGGAGUGAGCCACUGCGUGACACCCCAACUUUCAUAAAUGCUCUCGUCUCAUCUCGCUUGGGUUUCCCUCUCCUUCCUCCUCAAUAUCCUUCUCCUGGCUAACCCUCCACGUCUUCCAAGGCUGAGCAAAGACGUCUGCUGCUGCCCGAGCCUGGGUGAGGCUGUUGUCCCGGGCUCCUUCCAGGUGGGCACUUGUGCCUGUGGAUGCAGCUCCUCCGUCUCAGGACCAUGCCUUUCAUUUUUAUGGCCUCUGCCCUGGGCCCUGGGCUUGGUAGGGUUGAGGUGCUUACCAAGCAUUUGCCAAGUCAACUCUAUGAAUCAAUGGAUGGGGAACUACAUGCUGCUGUCUCAGGAAGGAGCUGUGCCAACGCAAGAAUCCCUUCUCUCUGCAACAGGGCCUGUUUGGGUCUGCUCUUUGCUGCAGUGUCUCUUUCUUUUGGUCACAUGCCCUCCACCUUGGCUGCCUCUCCCCAAACCUGAACAAGGCCCAGAGAGAAGCAGAGUGGCCUCAGUCUUCCAAGUUGCCGUCACCAGGAUGUGCUGCCCACAAAGCAGGUUUUGGGCUCACCCUGAGGCCUCUGGAACCUAGCCUGUCACUGGACAUCUUGACCUCCUGCCCCGCCUGCAUUCUCUCCCACGGAGGAUGCUGCAGUCUCAGGAGAUGGUUGCAUGUGAGGUGGAAUUCUUCCAAGAAGCUCCUAUAAGAGGGUGAAAGUGAAUCCAGAGCAGCCAUAGCCACACUGGAGCCACUGUGGUGAUGCGCCCAGCCACGGAGCGAGAGCAGAGGAGAUCUGCCACACACGUGCUUCUCCAGGCAGCUGUCAGAAUCAAGGGCCCUCUGGAGGAUGGGGCCUACCCUUACUAGGAAAGAACCUGAGACAUCUGGGCUGCAGUUUCUGUCUUUGUCAGCUGCUUGUCACACGUGAGUUCUCUGUGGCCACCACUGUCCUAGUCCGUGGCAGUGAUAUUCUUUCCUGCCCUUGUGGGCUUACUGCCCCCCAGAGCCUGUGAUGUUAUGAAUGGCUCAUGUCAAAUCUGACCUCUUAAAUGCUGACUUUCAGCUUUUGUAAUUUGCCUAGUAGAAGCAGAGAAGACAAGCUAUUUCAGAAUAUGCCAAUAAAAUCACUCACGGAUUGAAGGAACCA